UACGGAGGGUGCAAGCGUUAUCCGGAUUCACUGGGCUUAAAGGGUGCGUAGGCGGGUAGGUAAGUCAGUGGUGAAAUCUUCGAGCUUAACUCGGAAACUGCCGUUGAUACUAUCUAUCUUGAAUACCGUGGAGGUGAGCGGAAUAUGUCAUGUAGCGGUGAAAUGCUUAGAUAUGACAUAGAACACCAAUUGCGUAGGCAGCUUACUAGACGGUUAUUGACGCUGAGGCACGAAAGCGUGGGGAGCAAACAGG
rnacentral:rRNA from 1 species